rfam:Gossypium hirsutum cultivar TM-1 chromosome 20, whole genome shotgun sequence
AAUAGGAGAAUGACAAAUUAGAUUUUUUCUCUUGAUUUUCAGCUUUUUCCUCCUCAAAAAAUUUAAAUCUAACUAAAAAUGCUAAAAAUUAGGAGGAAAAAUCUGAUUUCAUAAUUGUAUU